AUGUGCCCAGGAGAUGGUCUCCAGGAGCUGCAAGGGAAGUGGAGGGGCCAGUGGACAGGGCAGCCAGCAGAGGCACAGAGCAGUGACGUCAUAGGCAAAUGCUCCAAUCAGGGAGCAGGAGGGUCAGCACUUUACACCACUCACCCCAGGAGGCCCACCCGCAGCCAGCAGCUGUCCUGGGUUCCUGAUGCUGCCGUGGGCUCCAGGCUCCUCUGCUGUGUGACUCUCCUCCUUCUGGGAGCAGGGGCGGUCCAUGCUGGGGUCAGUCAGGACCCCAGAUUCCAGGUCGUGAGGAGAGGACAGAGCGUGACACUGAAAUGUACUCAGGAUCCUGGUCUUGACCGCAUGUACUGGUACCGACAAGACCCGGGACACGGGCUGAGGCUGAUCCAUUACUCAGCUGGUGCGCACACUAGCGAGCCAGGAGACAUGUCCGACGGGUACAGUGUCUCCAGAUCAAACACAGAGAACUUCCCUCUCACGCUGGAGUCUGCCAACCGCUCCCAGACAUCUGUGUACUUCUGCGCCAGCAGUUAUUCCAUGGUGCUGCACGGCCACCUCCUUUCUGUGCAUAAAAGCAGAUGA